rnacentral:lncRNA from 1 species
ACAGCCCAUCAAUAAAAUUCAGAAGCCCGGAUAGAGUAACCUUGCUUUCUUUGCUUUCACCUUCUUUCCCCUUCUUAGGAAUUGGAUUAUCCUUGGACUCUUCGUCCUCCUCUUCCUUUUCCUUCUUUUUCUUACGUUGGCCUGUGAGGUCAAGCGAACAGUCGAUGUCCUCUAUCACAAUGAUGGACUUACUCGUUGUCUCGAUCAGUAGCUUCCGCAGCUCCGUGUUGUCCUUAACUGAAGUGAGUUCAAGAUCAUAGAUAUCAUAAUUCAAAAGGUUAGCCAUGGCAGCAAUCAUGCUUGACUUGCCAGUUCCUGGAGGACCAUGAAGGAGAUACCCUCGCUUCCAAGCCUUCCCAAUUUUUUAAUAAUAAUCUUUCCUCGUGCGGAAGAUGGUGAGAUCAUUAACAAUUUCCUCCUUCUUCUUUGACUCCAUUGCUAGAGUCUCAAAAGUGGCUGGGUGCUCAAAGGCUACAUGACUCCACUCUGACUUUUUGCGCCCAUACCAUUUCUGACUUGGACUGUUAGUGUAGAGCUUCCGCUGCCGAUUUCUGACUGCAAUUGCCUUCCCCUCCUUUAUCACAUGAUUGAGAUAAGACCCCACGAUCAAAUCUCGGUACUGUUUAUGGAAAGUGAGCCUAUAGUACCUCUUCUCAUCAGCAGUAGGAUAAAAAGAAAUGGUCUGCAUUUUAGGGAGACUUUUAUUGGAAGCCCACCAAAGCUUGACCCCAUGGAAUUCAUCCGUGACUUCUUCAUGGUCAUCCAUGCUGAGGACUACAGAUUGGCUGUCUUUGACGAUAUCUGCCUUGAGCCGCUUGGCCCGGGUAGAUGAAUUGGCACUGAGGUAGUUCUCAAUGGCAGCAUAGGCUUCGCUGCGCUUGCGUCUGAAGCUAUUUUCAGUGAACUCCUGGACAGUGAUUUGAAUGUAAGGAUACACAAAGCUCACCAAGUUGUGGCUGUACUUUUCCAUAUAGGGCCGGAGCUGGUGAGGGAAGUAUUGCUGAAACAUGGCCCAGAGAAACACUGCCCCAGCAGCUACUGAGCCUAGUUGAGCAAACAUCUCGCCCAUCACCAUCUUCUUCUCCAAAGUUUUCGAGUAUCAGUAGUAAAAUGUGUUUGUAAGGAUUGAGCGUUGCUUGCCCAUUAUAUAGAGGAGCAAAACCGACCACUGAUAUUCAUCAUCUCACAAGUUCUACCGUGUCUCCUACUCUGUGGCUACCAGCUAACGACGACAUUUCAAGUUGUAUUUUGUGCCUUCGUCCACAAGGAAGAUUCCCACCGUGGAAUAGGUGUGGAAAUCUUAUUGUAAAGACCAGAUAAUAAGAAACAUCCCUCUCUACUGGUCAUAAUCGUGUCCCAACUUCAAAGUCUUUAACACAACUCGCAAGGCAGUUGAUAACUACAUUAAUUGUCGUCCACAUACACCUUUAAAAAAGGUAAAAGAAUAUUUAAAUUUAGUCAAUUGUUCCACAUUUUUCUUUUUGGCAUUUCUCCCAUUUAAUUUUCUUCUAUUCUCAACGUGUACAUUGGGUUGAUGGCAAUCAGCUGAUGUCAUCAAUUUUUUUCAAAUGCCUAAAUUGCCCUUAUUAUAAUUAAUUUUAAUUAACAUAUAAAUUAUCUUAAUUAGUUUAAAUUAAUCAUAAUCAACAUUAAAGUAAUCCAUACAUUUAAUUUCAAAUAAAAAUAAAUUAGUUCUUAAAUAUAUUUUAAUCAAACAUAAAUCAAAUUAAUUAAUUAAUUAAUAACUAACACCAUAAGAUCUUUUAUCUUAUUGGAUCAAAAAAUCUCAUUUUUCAAUCUCACUUUUAUUUUUCAAAUGUUUAUCUUAUUUUCUUAUUAUCUCAAAUUAUUAAAAUUUCUCCCUCUAAAAUUCGUACUCUAGAAUUUAUAAAUUUUGGACUCCAAAAUUUUGUUAAUUUUGGAUUAUGAAAUUUCAUUAUUUUCCAAGAUUUGAAUUUUAUAAUAUUUGUAACAUUAGGUAUUUGGGUUUUUAAAAUCUCUCCAACUUUGUCCCCAUAUUUGUAUCUCACCUUAUUGUGUAAAUUUUUCAUUUGGCGAUUUUCUUUUCUUUUUAAAUUAUUUUUGUAAUCCCAUCAACCUCCUUUGUAUUUCGAUAUUUUGGUCUUUCUUAACCAUCUUCUCUAUUUAUAUAUAUAUAAAUAGACUACAAAGUAAAAUACCUAUAAAUUUGAUUAAAAGAUGAAUUCUAAUAAUCUUUAGAACCAAACUUUAUAAUAUUUUUUUAAAAAAAUUGACUAUCAAAUUAUCAACUUUAUAUUAUAAAUAUAUUUCUUAAUUAAACAAUUUGUCCAUUUCCUCUAUUUGCCUCCUAGUCUAUCUAUGAUUCUCCUCUUGGUCUUUCUAUAAUUCCAUCCAUGAAAUUUGGUUUCUUUUUUGUUUGUAUUUACAUAAGUUUUGAGUUUAAUAUUUCUUAAAGCUUGAGAAAUUAUAGUAAAUAAAUAAAUAGAAUUAGAGUCUGAAAACAAUUUUAAAAAAUAAUUUUUAAAAUAUUUUUAAUUAUUUUAAGUUUUUUUUAAGAAUAUAAAAAAAAAGAUGAUGUAUUAUAUACUUUUAUAUAAUAAGAAAUAUCCCUCAUAAUUUUAAUAGUUGUUCCAAAUAAUUUAUCAAAAAACAUCUAAAUUUUGUUUUUAAAAAGAUCAUUUUCAAUGGAAAGUAAUGGUAUUUUCGAAGUAAGAAAAAAAAAUUGUCCUAAAGAAUAGAACUUUAUUUUCACGAAAACUUUCUAAACAGGCCUAGGAUUUUUGAAAGAAAAGGAAAGGUACUGACGGUUUUUCCACCAAAUUUAAAAGAAAAAUGAUAAAAAUUAAAGAUGAAAAAAGAUAAAAGAGUUGUGGGCCGACCCACCAGCACGGCAAAGCCCGUCCCAAGGGAUUAUGGACCAUACUGGGCUGUCCAUUUGUCUUGGACGAGCCGGCGGGUUGCGCAGCCCGUUGGAACGGUCCGUUUUACGGGGACAUGAUUUCAGCAACUCAUUCUUGUCUUUUAAUUUUUAUUUUUUUUUUUGGAAAUAAAGGCGGAAAAAUGAUGGAAAAAAACCGUUGUUUUACACGGUUUGGACGAACAAAAUUUGGAAACUUCUAUAUCACCCUUUACUAAAUUAUAUGAAUUAUAAUAUACUCUAUUUAUAAAAGUUUACGGAAAUAUUAAUAUACACUUUAUUAAUAAUUUAUGGAAUUGUAAUUCGGUGUGUCUAACUUAACCUAAAAGGGUUGGGACAGAUUAAAGGAGGUCUUUGAAAACUCUCGAGGACCAAAAAAAACCCAAACAAAAAUCUCUGAUCCUUGGGUUUUUCUUUGCCAAAGCAAGAUCCUUCAAACCAGACCCACCACAAUAACACAGGAAUGGAAAAAAUUAGGGACAAUUGUGUUUUGGAUCCAUCUGGGCCCAAAAAUUAAGAUAUAACCCAUAAAAGUUACAUAAUUGAGGAGAAGGAUAUAAAACGUGAAAAGACCAAUAUACACUUCAAAACUAUUUUGAAUAUUUUCUACCAUAAUGUUUAACAAACUUUUUUAUCUUAAUUUUUUUUAAUAAUUAUUCUGAAAAUUUAUUAUUUUUAGAAAACUAAUUAUUUUAAAAAAUAUAUUCUAAAAAUAUAUCAUUUAAAAAAAAAAAUUUGACAUAUUUUUAGUUAUUUUUUACAUACAUAAUUUUAAAAAUAUAUAUUUUUUAAUAUGUUUGAUUUUUAAAUAAUAAUAAUAAUAAUUUAUUUAUAUUUUUUUGAAAAAUAGUGUAUUUUUUUCCAAAUCACUAAAUUAAAUUAAAUUUUAUUGAGGUUUAUAAAAUGAAUAAAAUUUAAAUUAAUGUUUUUCUACUCUAUUUUUUUUUAUAGUCAAUAAAGGUAAUUUUUGGAAAGAUAAAAAAUCUAUAUCCUUCUUCUCAAUUUUCACACUUUCUCUAAGUCUUGGACUUAAAUUGUGAACUUAUAUAGACCAAAGCUUAAUUUUUGAACCCAACUAGAUCCAAAACACAAUUGUCCCAAAAAAUUAUUUAAAGAGCUAAAGGCUUUGAUACCAUAGAAACUUUUCUCAAUAAAAUUUUAUAGACCAUUCUAUUAAACUUUGAUUAAUGAACAUCAAACACGCAUAUGCAUACAAGUACAUGAAUGAUCUAAAGCCAAUACUACGCAAUCAGAGAAACAUAUUCGCAGCCCAUGAUGUCGAUUGUGGUUAGACUACUCCAUUUUCUUUCACUGCCACACCACUCUCACUCUCUUUUUCACCUAACAUUUCCUUCUUUUUCACUUCUCCAGCAGUUGCCUCCUUCUCCUUCCCUUCUUUCCCGCCCUUUAACCUCUCUUCUUCCUCUUCCUUCUCUUUAGCUUCCUUCUCGGCCUUCACCCUCGCUUCUUCCUUGGCGGUCUCAAGGGCCUGAAUCAAAUUCUCCAAACAAGUUGUCCCAGGAUCAUCAGAUGGACUUGGGCAUCAAAUUUUCCGCAACAUCAACAGGAGUCAUAUUGGUUUCCUCCAACAAUCUGCGGAUGCUUGCAAACAAAUGGUGGGAGUCAAGAUCCAAGUAAUUCUUAGCAAACACCUUGAAUGCUUCAAAGCAACAGUAGGAUAAUUUAUUAUUAGUGAAUUAAUUUGAAAUUUAUUAAUUUGGGUUUGUGGGCAUAUUGUAUUUGGUGAUUAAUUUAAGGAUAUUUGGAUUAUAUUAAUUGUAAACUGUUUAUUUGGAUUUGGGCUUAUUGUUUAAGUUGUUAUUUGUUUGGGUUUAAAAUAUUAUUUCUCUUGAUCAUGUAUUUUUUUUUUAUGUGAGCUUGUUAAUUUAUGUGAAUUUUGGGGCUCAUAAUGUAGAUGAGAUUUAUUGGAUUAUUUAAAUAUUUUAUAUGGGUUUGAUCAAUUUGAAUUAUUUAAUUUAGAUAUGAGACAAUUGUGGUGUAUAUUAAAUUAAGCUUAGAUUAUGAAAUAUUAAAUUUAUGUUUAGUAGAAUUUAUUUUAAUUGGGUUGUGUUGUUGGAAGGGAGAUGUGGUGGAGUGCUGUGAAGGAGGAAGAAGAAGGAGAAGAAGAAAAAAAAUCUGGGCCCGCGUGGGAGUUCGGGGGAGAAGAGAAAAGGAAAAAAUAUGGGAAGAUGUCAGGGUGGGGUGCCGGAGGAAAGAAAAAAAAUGAGGGGGGAAGGGAGGCUGGCGAAAAGCCAGGGACCCCACCCAAAAAAAUUGGGGGCACUCGUUUCUCUUUUGGGAAUAGGGGAGAGGAAAAAAAGAAAAAAAUGUAAAAAAUCAGCAGAGAGAGAGGCGGGCUGCCGAAUGGAGGGAAAAUCAAUCGGGGGAGGGCCGGCCAAUUGGGAAACGGAGGAAGAAAAAAAUAAUAAAAAAAAGGAAGAAAAUCAUGAAGAGUGGAGAGGGGGGCUUUUAGACGUGAGAGAGCAUGGGUUAGGUGAGGGUAGGUGGAGGAAGAGAAGAGAGAAGAGGGAGGAGAGAGGAAAGAAAAAAAUAAUAAUAAAUAUAUAUAUAUAUAUAUCAUAUAAUAUAAUAUAAUAAUAACAAAAAAAAUAAAAAAAUAAAAAAAUAAUUUAUAAAAUAAUAAAAACGAGAAAUUAAAGGAUGAAUAGACUUAAAAUUGAACUUAAAAUUAAUAUAAAAAUAAAAUUAAAAUAAAUUUUGAACUCUACAUAUAUAUUUAUAAAUUAAAAAGUCUAAAUUAGGUUCGAACUUAGGUCUUCCAUCAUUCAUCGACAGCUUGGCCAGAACAUUGGUUGUUGGGACAUUGUAUGAGCACAGCAUUUUUAGUUUUUAGUUGAACUACAAAAACGGAAAAAACAAUUGAUCCUCAUGUUUUAAAAGAAAGAAAUUACUGUGAAGAGUAUGAAAUAAUAUUAAAAAUAAAACAAAGUUGAAAUUCUUUUAUUCCGGUCACUGACUGAGAAAUAAGAAGAGAAACAAGAGACAAGGAGUACUGACAGCUUGAACCAAACAACCAGCUGCAUCAGACCAGAGUCAGAUGGAAGUUGGUCCAUUUAGCCCAGAGCUUCAUUCUACAUGACAAACACACUGAACCUAAAAGCUUAUCCUAAAUUAAUUAAGUAGAUGGUGGUUCUUUGGGGAUCACCCCAUUUUCUCUCGCUGCCGACACUCCAUUCUCUUUCACCUCUUCACCUGACAUUUCCUUCUCUUUCACUUCUCCAGCAGUUGCCUCCUUCUCCUUCCCUUCUUUCUCGGCCUUUAGCCUCUCCUCUUCCUCUUCCUUCUCUGCCUUCACCCUCGCUUCUUCCUUGGCGGUCUCAAGGGCCUGAAUCAAAUUCUCCAAACAAGCUGUCCCAGGAUCAUCAGUACUGAUGGACUUGGGCAUCAAAUUUUCCGCAACAUCAGCAGGAGUCAUAUUGGUUUCCUCCAACAAUCUGCGGAUGCUUGCAAACAAAUGGUGGGAGUCCAGAUCCAAGUAAUUCUUUGCAAGCACCUUGAAUGCUUCAAAGCAACAGUAGGAUAAUUCUAUGUGCCUGUCCAUCCUCCCUCUCCUUAUGAGAGCAGGAUCAAGUUUUUCCACGUGAUUGGUGGUGAAAACUAUGAGUCUCUCUUCGCCACAAGCUGACCACAGCCCAUCAAUAAAAUUCAGAAGCCCGGAUAGAGUAACCUUGCUUUCUUUGCUUUCACCUUCUUUCCCCUUCUUAGGAAUUGGAUUAUCCUUGGACUCUUCGUCCUCCUCUUCCUUUUCCUUCUUUUUCUUACGUUGGCCUGUGAGGUCAAGCGAACAGUCGAUGUCCUCUAUCACAAUGAUGGACUUACUCGUUGUCUCGAUCAGUAGCUUCCGCAGCUCCGUGUUGUCCUUAACGGAAGUGAGUUCAAGAUCAUAGAUAUCAUAAUUCAAAAGGUUAGCCAUGGCAGCAAUCAUGCUCGACUUGCCAGUUCCUGGAGGACCAUGAAGGAGAUACCCUCUCUUCCAAGCCUUCCCAAUUUUUGAAUAAUAAUCUUUCCUCGUGCGGAAGAUGGUGAGAUCAUUAACAAUUUCCUCCUUCUUCUUUGACUCCAUUGCUAGAGUCUCAAAUGUGGCUGGGUGCUCAAAGGCCACAUGACUCCACACGGACUUUUUGUAUCCAUGCCAAUUGUCACUUGGAUUGUUAGUGCAGAGCUUUCGCUGCCGAUUUCUGACUGCAAUUGCCUUCCCCUCCUUUAUCACAUGAUUGAGAUAAGACCCCACGAUCAAAUCUCGGUACUGUUGAUGGAAAGUGAGCCUAUAGUACCUCUUCUCAUCAGCAGCAGGAUAAAAAGAAAUGGCCUGCAUUUUAGGGGGACUUUUAUUGGAAACCCACCAAAGCUUGACCCCCUGGAAUUCAUCCGUGACUUCUUCAUGGUCAUCCAUGCUGAGGACUACAGAUUGGCUGUCUUUGAUGAUAUCUGCCUUGAGCCGCUUGGCCCGGGCAGAUGAAUUAGCACUGAGGUAGUUCUCAAUGGCAGCAUAGGCUUCGCUGCGCUUGCGUCUGAAGCUAUUUUCAGUGAACUCCUGGAAAGUGAUUUGAAUGUAAGGGUACACAAAGCUCACCAACUUUUGGCUGUACUUUUCAAUAUAGGGCCGGAGCUGGUAAGGGAAGUAUUGCUGAAACAUGGCCCAGAGAAAGAUUGCCCCAGCGGCUACCGAGCCUAGUUGACCAAACAUCUCCCCCAUCACCACCUUCUUCUCCAAAGUUUUCGAGUAUUAGUGGUAAAAUGUGUUUGUAAGGAUUGAACGUUGCUUGCCGAUUAUAUAGAGGAGCAAAACCGACACUGAUAUUCAUCAUCUCACAAGUUCUAUUCUGUGGCCACCGCCAACGACGACAUUUCAAGCUCUAUUUAGUGGCUUCGUCACCAAGGAAAAUUCCCAUUUUCUUGUACCAGCAGCCACCUUUGACGAUAUUAAUCGACCGUGGAAUACUGGAAUGGGUGGAAAUUUCAUUCUGAAGGCCAUCGAUAACUGCAUAAAUGUAUUAGAUUGCAGUUCAAUAUAAUUAUGUUUUGACUUUUGAGUCAUGGCUAAAGACAAUUCUAGUUUCAUUCUUCAAAAAAUGACGUACGUUUGGAGAUAAAUUUUUUAAUUAUCAUAUCUUAAAUUAUUUUUAAAAAAAAAUCGAUAUCCUUGUGUUCUAUAUUUUAGGUUAUAUUUAAUUUUCAAAAAUACUAUAAAAAAAAGGUAAAAAUAAUUAUUUGCUCAUAUUUGAUUAUUCUAUAAAAAAUUUUAAAUAUAAUUAAUAUUAGUUAAAAUUUUAUAUAUUAAAAAAUUAAAAUAAAUAAAAUAAAUUUAUGUAAUUUAUAAAUAAAAAAUUAUUAUUUUUAUUUUUUUCUUAUAUAUUUUUUCAAAUUUUUGGAAACAUAACCUUAGUCUUCUCGAAGCUCAUAUUUGAAUUUGAAAUUUCAACUUGUUUGGUUGUUGGAAAGCUUCCAGAAAAGUGGAAAAACAGGAGAAAAUCAAAAGAAAAAAACAAGUAAAAGAUAGUUUAAAUUUAAUCAAUUAUUCCCCACUUUUCUCCUUAGCAUAAAGAAUGUGUCCCCAUACACUUUAAAGAAAAAUAAAAGAUUAUUUAAAUUUAAAUAAUUUAAAUACUGAAGUUCAUAAAUAAUCUUUCUCUUCGUAUUUAAUUUUCUUCCAUUCUCAACUUGUUUAUUGGGUUGAUGAUGCAAUCAGCUGAUAUCAUCAAUUUUUUUUUCACAUGCCUAAAUUGUCCUUAUUACAAUUAUUUUUAAUUAACAUAUAAUUAUCUUAAUUAGUAUAAAUUAAGGAAAAUUAAUCAUAAUCAGCAUUAAAGUAACCAAUACAUUUAAUUCAAACCAUAAAAUCUUAUAUCUUCUUCAAUAAAAAAAACUUCAAUUUCUCAUCUCAUUUUUAUUUUUUAAAUUUCUCCUAGGACACGAGAGAAAUUACAAUAAUAAAUAAAUAAAUAAAUAUAUAAAAGAAUUAGAGUUUGAAAGUAAUUUUAAAAAAUAGUUUUUGUAAAUAAUUUUUAAAAAUAUUUUUAAUUGUUUUGAGGAAUAAUUUUUUUUUUUUGAGAAUUUAAAUAUAGAAAUUUUUUUUAUGAAACUAUUAUAUACUUUUAUAUAAUACAAAAUAUUCUUUGUAUUUUUUAUUUUUAAUUGUUGUUCGAAAUUCUUUAUAAAAAUAUAUAUAAAUUUUGUUUUAAAAAAUCAACAUGUUCUCAAAAAGUCAUUUUUUAAAGUUAGAAAAUUAUUUUUUAUCUUAAACAAUAAAAUUUUAUUUUCAAGAAAACUUUCCAAACAGGUCUAAGAGUUUUGAAAGAAAAGGAAAGGCACUUGACACUUUCUCCACCAAAAUUUAAAUAAAAAAAAAAAUUGAUAAAAACUAAAGAAGAUAAAAAAGGAUAAAGAGUUGUGGACCGACCCACCAGCACGGCUAAGCUCGUCCCAAGGGAUCAUGGGCCAUACUGGGCUGUCCAUUUGUCUUGGACGGGCCGAGCACUAUCUUCAGGCGGCUUGCGCAGCCUGUUGGAACGGCCCGUUUUACGCGGACAUGAUUUCAGCAACUCAGCUAGAUGUUCUUGUUUUUUAGUUUUAGUUUUAUUUUUUAUUUUGGGGAAAAAAAAGGCGGAAAAAUGAUGGGAAAAAGCCUUGUUUUACACGGCUUGGACGAACCAAAUUUGGAAACUUCAUGCAUAAUUCACCCUUUAUUAAAUUAUAUGAAUUAUAAUAUAGUCUAUUUACAAAAAUAUUAAUAUACACUUUAUUAAUAAUUUAAUUUAAUUUCUUGCAUGACGAGCUUGAGCUCUUAGAAAAAAAGUAACGCUAAAGACCAUAUGUUUGAACUUAUUAAAUGAAGAGAAAAGACAAUUCAAUCUUAUCAUAUCUUCGAAAGUAAAAAAUUAGUCACACUCAUUACAAUUGAAAACAUAUCCACAAAAGUUUUGAUACAAAUAAGAUAUUGAAAAUGUUUAAAUCGGGAUGAAUCAUGAAACUUAUAUGACUCACAAUAAUCACAAAACCACUGACAAUACAUAUGAAAAAAAAAUAAACCUUGUACUUGAUGAAGUAAAAAGUCCAUAAUUGAAAGUCGAUAUAAUUAAAUGCACUAAAAUCAAUUACCUAACGAUUAAAGUGAUUGUCUUGCAAGAGUGAGAAAGCAAAAGCAUUACAACAAUUACCCAUGUUUAAAUGACUUAUCAUCUCUUGAACUUGAUUUGUAAGUUGGUUGAUGGGUAUUAUCAAAUUUUGCAUGUUUAGAUCACACUUGGACAAUGUUGCAAUAGUUGUGUGAGAAGUCUUUCAAAGUGUAGAUUUCUCUUUCAUAUUAUACUUCAUAUGGCCAAUUUUUAAAAAUGUAUAUGCAAGGUGAAAUUUAAGUUAUAUUGUCGAGGACUAAAUUUUGUGGCAAACGCAAAAUCUUCAUUUGUCUUUGGUUUUUGCAUUGUUCCAAACAUAAAUUGAUCUUCCUCUACUUUCUUUGAGUAAAAAAAGUUUUUUCAAGUCUCCCUGACUUCAAACUCUGAUAAUACAUAAUCAAUACUAAUAAAAGAAAGAGUAUAAUGAAGUACAAAAGUUAUAACAAACUCAAAAUUAUCUAAAAAAGCCAUUAGAAAUUACACAAGAUGUAAUUCUUCUUUGUAAUUGUUACGAAAUAAUGAGACUAGACAAUAAGAAAACAAAAUAAGAACAUAUAGAUUUACAUGAAAAUCCUAGGUGGAAAAAACCGUAAGCAUAGGAGAAGAAGAUCCACUAUGUCAAAAAAUAGUACAAAAGAGAAGAGUUGUGAAUGGUUACAAUAAAAGUAUAAUUAUCAUAACAUUAAAACUAUACAUCAUCAUCUAUAUAUAUAUACCUAUCCGCCCAAUCCCUCCACUACCACUACAAACCCUCCAAAAAAAUCUCAAAAUUAGCUAUACCACAUAUGUCACACCACAAGCUUUUCAAGAUUGGCAAAAGAGAAAUCGGGUCACCAAACUCUAAUAGUAUGAAUACUAUAAUUGAGCAUCAACAAUCCACUUUGGCUCCAUAUGAGCAAAUUCAUAUGAGAGAAUUAAGAUUUCACCAUGAAAUUUAAAAUUAAUUGCUUUUUCUUUUGUUUUCAAUCACAAAUAUCAAUCUCAAGUUUGUAUUUUCGUGUGAAGUUUAUUUAAACAUAAUAUUCUACAAGAAAAUCCCAACAUAUACAAGAAAAUACCAUUGUUACAUACAGAUGACUAUAAAAAAUAGUCAAUCAUAGAAGAAAGAUGACAACGGAAAGUAAUUAUUAUUAUGGGAAGGAUGACCGACAAAAAUAAACAACCAUCAAAUACCAACAAUGACCACGUCUUGCUAUCAUCUUCUCCUUUUCUUCUUCAAAAGCUAUGAACAACUAAAUUCAUAAUCCAUGUUAUAAAUUAUUAUUUUUUCCCCUUUUUUCUUAUCUCUCACUCCUCUUGUUUAUUCUCCCCUCUUCCUCUUACAUGUUUCGUGAUUUUUCCAAAUAUUUCUUUGUGCUAGAAAUAUAUUUCCACAAUCCAUUCCCUUUCAAGAAAUUGUUCAUCAAAUAAGAUCACUGGUUAUAAUUUGAUUUGCCGAACCUAACACAGACAGAUUGGGAUAGAUUAGAGGAGGCCUUUGAAAAAGAAAACCACAGGAAAUAAAAAUCUGUGACCUAAACUGAAGAGAAAAGCUACCAAAGCACCUUUCUUGCUAAUUCACGUGAUCUGAAUGAGAGUCCCGCCCUCGAGUUUUUCUUUCCCAUAGUAAGCGUAGAGAUUCUUCACACCAGGCCCACCACAGUAACAGAGGAAUGGAAAAAAUUAUUCAAAGAGAUAAAGGAUUUGAUAGCAUAGAAACUUUUCUACAUAGAAUUUUACAGACCAUUCUAUUAAACUUUAGGAUUAAUGAACAUCAUACACACAUAUGCAUACAAGUACAUGAAAUGAUCUAAAGCCAAUACUACACAAUCAGAGAAAUAUAUUCACAGCCCACGAGGUCGAUUGUGGUUAGACUACCCCAUUUUCUUUCACUGCAACUCCAUUCUGUUUCUCUUUCUCACCUGACGCUUCCUUCUCUUUCACUUCUCCAGCAGUUGCCUCCUUCUCCUUCCCUUCUUUCUCGCCCUUUAACCUCUCUUCUUCCUCCUCCUUCUCUUUAGCUUCCUUCUCGGCCUUCACCCUCGCUUCUUCCUUGGCGGUCUCAAGGGCCUGAAUCAAACUCUCCAAACAAGUUGUCCCAGGAUCACCAGUGACGGACUUGGGCAUCAAAUUUUCCGCAACAUCAGCAGGAGUCAUAUUGGUUUCCUCCAACAAUCUGCGGAUGCUUGCAAACAAAUGGUGGGAGUCAAGAUCCAAGUAAUUCUUAGCCAGCACCUUGAAUGCUUCAAAGCAACAGUAGGAUAAUUCUAUGUGCUUGUCCAUCCUCCCUCUCCUUAUGAGAGCAGGAUCAAGUUUUUCCACAUAAUUGGUGGUGAAAAUUAUCAGCCUCUCUUCCCCACAAGUUGACCACAACCCAUCAAUAACAUUCAGGAGCCCCGAUAGAGUAACUUUGCUUUCUUUGCUUUCACCUUCUUUUUCCAUUUUACGAAUUGGAUCCUUCUUCUCUUCCUCAUUCGUUUCCUUCUUCUUCUUGCGUUGGCCUGUGAGGUCAAGCGAACAGUCGAUGUCCUCGAUCACAAUGAUGGAUUUAUUCCUUGUCUCGAUCAAUAGCAUCCGCAGCUCCGUGUUGCUCUUAACUGAAGUGAGUUCAAGAUCAUAGAUGUCAUAAUCUAAAAGAUUUGCCAUGGCAGCAAUCAUG